UCGAGAUUUGUGCUUCGUCUUUCGCCUACCGUAUAUGGUGUAACGGCAUCUCGUGCCAAGGGUUGAACCCUGCUCACAAACCAGGAGAUCUGGGUCUUAAGGAGCGAUCAUCAUCAAUCCCAUUCUACUACUCAUACUCAGUUAGUACAAAUUAUGACUAUUGUCAGUCUCCGAGGGACAUCGAAGACUUGGAACUACAUCGAUAGACAACCACCAUCACUACCAUUACCAUUUCGAGAGA
rnacentral:lncRNA from 1 species